rnacentral:rRNA from 1 species
UCCGAAUGGGGAAACCCACUGCUUCGGCAGUAUCCUGCAGUGAAUUCAUAGCUGCUGGAAGCGAACCCGGUGAACUGAAAUAUCUAAGUAACCGGAGGAAAAGAAAUCAACCGAGAUUCCCUAAGUAGUGACGAGCGAACGGGGAGCAGCCCUUAAGCUGGAAUGGCUUUAGAAAAACAAUCUGGAAAGAUUGGCCAUAGAAGGUGAUAGCCCUGUAUUUAAAAGGGCCACUCCAGUGAAGACGAGUAGGGCGGGGCACGUGAAACCCUGUCUGAAUAUGGGGGGACCAUCCUCCAAGGCUAAAUACUCCUGACCGACCGAUAGUGAACCAGUACCGUGAGGGAAAGGCGAAAAGAACCCCGGAGAGGGGAGUGAAAUAGAUCCUGAAACCGUGUGCGUACAAGCAGUAGGAGCUCGCAAGAGUGACUGCGUACCUUUUGUAUAAUGGGUCAGCGACUUACUGUUCGUGGCAAGCUUAACCGUAUAGGGGAGGCGAAGGGAAACCGAGUCUGAUAAGGGCGCAUAGUCGCGGGCAGUAGACCCGAAACCGGGUGAUCUAGUCAUGGCCAGGGUGAAGGUGCCGUAACAGGUACUGGAGGCCCGAACCCACGUCUGUUGCAAAAGACGGGGAUGAGCUGUGAUUAGGAGUGAAAAGCUAAUCGAACCCGGAGAUAGCUGGUUCUCCUCGAAAGCUAUUUAGGUAGCGCCUCGGACGAAUACUACUGGGGGUAGAGCACUGUUAUGGCUAGGGGGUCAUCGCGACUUACCAAACCAUUGCAAACUCCGAAUACCAGUACGUACUAUCCGGGAGACACACGGCGGGUGCUAACGUCCGUCGUGAAAAGGGAAACAACCCAGACCCACAGCUAAGGUCCCAAAUUCACUGCUAAGUGGAAAACGAUGUGGAAAGGCAUAGACAGCCAGGAGGUUGGCUUAGAAGCAGCCACCCUUUAAAGAAAGCGUAAUAGCUCACUGGUCGAGUCGGUCUGCGCGGAAGAUUUAACGGGGCUAAGCAGUGAACCGAAGCUUGGGGUGCAUAAAACUUGUUUUAUGCGCGGUAGAGGAGCGUUCCGUAAGCCUGCGAAGGUGGAUUGAGAAGUCUGCUGGAGGUAUCGGAAGUGCGAAUGCUGACAUGAGUAACGAUAAUGCGGGUGAAAAGCCCGCACGCCGAAAGCCCAAGGUUUCCUUGCGCAACGUUAAUCGACGCAGGGUUAGUCGGUCCCUAAGGCGAGGGCGAAAGCCGUAGUCGAUGGGAAGCAGGUUAAUAUUCCUGCACCUCGCGUGAGUGCGAUGGAGGGACGGAGAAGGUUAGGUGUACCGGGCGUUGGUUGUCCCGGGGAAAGGCGGUAGGUUUGGAUCUUUGGCAAAUCCGGGAUCCUUUAAGACCGAGCACCGAGACGAGCCUUUAUGGCGAAGUCACUGAUACCACGCUUCCAGGAAAAGCUCCUAAGCUUCAGCUCACGAAGACCGUACCGUAAACCGACACAGGUGGGUAGGAUGAGAAUUCUCAGGCGCUUGAGAGAACUCGGGUGAAGGAACUAGGCAACAUGGCACCGUAACUUCGGGAGAAGGUGCACCCUUUUUGGUGGCUCAUGCGAGCUAUAGCUGAAGAGGGUCGCAGAAACCAGGCCGCUGCGACUGUUUAUCAAAAACACAGCACUCUGCAAACACGAAAGUGGACGUAUAGGGUGUGACGCCUGCCCGGUGCUGGAAGGUUAAUUGAUGGGGUCAGCCGCAAGGCGAAGCUCUUGAUCGAAGCCCCAGUAAACGGCGGCCGUAACUAUAACGGUCCUAAGGUAGCGAAAUUCCUUGUCGGGUAAGUUCCGACCUGCACGAAUGGCGUAACGACAGCGGCGCUGUCUCCACCCGAGACUCAGUGAAAUUGAAAUCGCUGUGAAGAUGCAGCGUUCCCGUGGCAAGACGGAAAGACCCCGUGAACCUUUACUAUAGCUUUACACUGAACGUUGAGUUCGUCUGUGUAGGAUAGGUGGGAGGCUAUGAAACUGUGGCGCUAGCUGCAGUGGAGCCAUCCUUGAAAUACCACCCUGUCGUGCUUGACGUUCUAACCUAGGUCCGUUAUCCGGAUCAGGGACCGUGUAUGGUGGGUAGUUUGACUGGGGCGGUCUCCUCCUAAAGAGUAACGGAGGAGCACGAAGGUACGCUCAGCGCGGUCGGACAUCGCGCACUGUGUGCAAAGGCAUAAGCGUGCUUGACUGCAAGAUCGACGGAUCAAGCAGGUACGAAAGUAGGUCUUAGUGAUCCGGUGGUUCUGUAUGGAAGGGCCAUCGCUCAACGGAUAAAAGGUACUCCGGGGAUAACAGGCUGAUACCGCCCAAGAGUUCAUAUCGACGGCGGUGUUUGGCACCUCGAUGUCGGCUCAUCACAUCCUGGGGCUGUAGUCGGUCCCAAGGGUAUGGCUGUUCGCCAUUUAAAGUGGUACGCGAGCUGGGUUCAGAACGUCGUGAGACAGUUCGGUCCCUAUCUGCCAUGGGCGUUGGAAGUUUGAGAGGGGCUGCUCCUAGUACGAGAGGACCGGAGUGGACGAACCUCUGGUGUUCCGGUUGUCACGCCAGUGGCAUUGCCGGGUAGCUAUGUUCGGAAGCGAUAACCGCUGAAAGCAUCUAAGCGGGAAGCGCGCCUCAAGAUGAGACUUCCCGGGGCACAAGCCCCCUAAAGGAACCAUGUAGACUACGUGGUUGAUAGGUCAGGUGUGU